GGUCUUGUGGUCUAGUCGUAUGAUUCCUCGUUUGGGUGCCAAUGCUCAUCUCGAGGAGGUCCUGGGUUCAAUUCCCAGUAAGACCC